UACGAAGGGGGCUAGCGUUGCUCGGAAUUACUGGGCGUAAAGCGCACGUAGGCGGCUCUUUAAGUCGGGGGUGAAAUCCUGGAGCUCAACUCCAGAACUGCCUUCGAUACUGUAGAGCUUGAGUUCGGGAGAGGUGAGUGGAACUGCGAGUGUAGAGGUGAAAUUCGUAGAUAUUGGGAAGAACACCAGUGGCGAAGGCGGCUAACUGGUCCAGCACUGACGCUGAGGUGCGAAAGCGUGGGGAGCAAACAGG
rnacentral:rRNA from 1 species